AUCUGGAGGCACAAAAAGAUUCAACUCGAUUAGAUUUUAGGCAAAGUCUUUAUGAAACACAGCAGAACCAGUAAAAUAUAUCAAAUUAAGUUUGAUUUUUCCACAUAGCUUUUAUUGAAGAUGAUCUGUUAGCGCUGCCUCUCAAAGCCACUCAGGCUUUUCGCGCCUUAGCAGAAAAUUGGCAAAGUUUGUAAUGGAAACACAGAUAGUUUGUGUAACACUGAUAAUUCAUUCUGAACCCAAAAUGAAAACCACAAAAGGUUAAGCAGACUUUUAACAGGAAGUAGCUGUUUACUCAGCAGAGACGGUUUUACUGGGGAUUGUUUCGCCUGCAGGACCGGACAGACAGAAACCAGGAGCGGAGAAGCUGUGGAGCAGGAACACCUCCAGCCAGUUAAAGCUCCGAUGAAACGACGGAGGGAUGAAACAGAUUUCCUGUUGCGUCAGAAAGACGACAGAACAGAGAGGAUUUAUGGAAAACUGAGCAACCAGCCGAAACCCUGACAUCCAGGUCGUAGAAAUGUUGAAAGCAGAGGAAGAGUCUAACAACAGCCUGGAUCUGCCGACUUGUUCAUCAGUAAUCAUGGAGGACGUCAGGAAAUAUGAUGAAGAUCAACGACGGCGUCUUCAGAAUCACCUGCAGCCUGACAGGAACUAUAAAUGGAGUUUGGACGCCUGGGGACGGAUUUGUCCAAACACCCUGGAGAGGACAAAGACAGGCAGACUCGGCUUUCCGUGUGCUGGCCGCGUUCCCGUCCCGCCAUCUAUCACCCCAGGCUACCAGCUAGCGCUCACACUGUUUCAGUCACAGCAGCACCAAUAAAGGAGAAUGAGUUAGGACGCAAUCUGCCUGAAAGAAGACGGUA